CAGUCACAGAGAGAAACACUAGAGCUCACACUGAAACGGAGCUACAGCGCUGUGUCUUGUAGAAGAUUUAUUUUCAAAGCUACAUGUGUGACGGUAAUAAUCCGUGCCAGAGCAGACCUCAUUAGCACUUCCGCUAGGUCGGCUCACCUUUCCGGUCACUCCAGGGACGCUGUUGUCGACCAAAGAACUACAGACUCUUCACAACCUGCUCAAACUCUUGGUACAGGACCUCACCACACGGGUCAAGAAGGUUUCUGUCUCAUUUCUACUCUGAAGCUCACCUUCUCCUGCUCAAACUGCUGACAAAUGUUUCUGCUGCUCUAAAGUCUGGUCUCCAGAACUUCCUAAAAACUGUCAAAGUCUCUUCUGCUGCAGGUUGCUUUGUAGAACUGUUACAGAAAACCUCACUAAACCACAUGGAGGGGCCUCAAGAUAGUCGUCCAAAUGAAACCGUACAAAACCCAAACUAGCACAACCCAAACACUAAAGUCUCCUGCAGCCUACCAGAGAACCUCUGAGAACAGAGAAUCAGGACAGGAACUCUUACCUUCUGGACAACCAACGCUGGUUCACUAACAAGAAUACAGAAUGUGUCUGACCAAAAACCUCUGAAGACUCACUACAGCCAAGAUAAAGACACAACUCAGCUGUACCAAAUCCACUAAUCACUGCACACAUUCGCACCAUGUGCUAACUGUGGCUAAAGAACCACCUUUACCAAGACAACUAUCCAGUACAAAGCCCUAAAACACACCAAGAAACACAUUAAAGACAAUUUUACUGCUGGAAGCUGCAAGCCAACGCCUAAAGAACAAACUGAAGCAAUGGAGCCAAACCCGGUUCAGUGGUGAAGACAAGCAGAGGAAAUGUUUGGGUGCAGCUAAAUAAAGCAGGAAGACACUGAGCUGCUCAGGUGUUCCUGAUAACACCAAGCAGCCACCUGGACAGCCAAUAGGAACACAGCUUCCUGGAAGUCCAGAGGGCUGGGUUAGUGAAGGAAAUUUAGUUUGAAGUUGAAGCAGAAAGUUAACCAAGAAAGUUGAAAACCACCUUCUGAGCCCUGAAAUCUCUGAGUUUUCACACAAAGAACACCUGAACAUGUCAAACUGGUUCCAUAGUAGAACCCUCAUUGUAAAAACGUCAUAGUAUGUUGUGUUGCUCAAAAAACAUUAGGACCCGGCUGUCUAGGGUCGCUGAGGAGCAACACAAAAACAGGACAAAUACUGGUUUCCAGGGGGUUAGGCAGCUAUUUAUUUGAAAGAGGAAGUUUACAACAACACAACAUGUGAGCAGAAAAAUCACAAAGUCUGUCUUUAGUUCAGCUGAAAAUAUUAGAUUUUGUCUGUUUUAUUGACCAAACUUUUCAGGAAGUAGAUGAAGAAUAAUUAAAGCUCUCGUGUAGAAGUCCAACUUAUUUUGGAUCCUUGUGGAGAGUUUAAUCUUAGAGUUUUUCUCAUUGUCGUCUUCAAUAAAGUCUUUUUCCUCAUGUAAGGAUGUGGUGAGACUCUUUCUCAGUCUCUGCAGACGUCCCUCAUUGUGCAUCUCCAGAGAAGAAACAGAAAAACUGGUCACUGCUUCAGCAUCAAACGCUCUCCAGCAUUGAGAGUGUUUUAGGAAUUAAUUCAUUGUGUUGUGAACUUUGAAGGAGAAGAAAAUUUACAGCUGCCAAAGAUAUGAGCUCCAAUUCUGGAUGUUUUAGGAAAUGAAGUUCAUCAAAUGAACACUUGAUUUUUACUGAUAACUCUCAUUAAAUUACUGAAGAAAUCUAACAUAAAAACCUGUAAACUCUCAGGCAGCUUUUGUUAAAGUUUGUCUAUAAUUCUAUCAUCAUGUUCUGGAACCAGGACUCUGCAGAAGUUCCUUCAAUCAGAUACUUGUGUGUUUCUAUUUAAGGCCUCAGGUUUGAACGUACAGCAGAGGAUUAGAAAGGAGUGAUUUUAAUAUUUAAAUCAGUCCAGUAAAUGUUUGGAGUAAAAAUGAUUAAAAUUUGGAUUUAGAUAGAUUUGUGUCAAAUAAUGUUGUAGAGUCUCACUUAAA